rnacentral:lncRNA from 1 species
UGAAAUCUAGGAUGCUUAGGAAUAGAGUGAUUCAUGGGAAGCGGGUGGUAUUGCGCCACUUAGCGGAACAUUGAUAUCACGAGCAGUUCAGACCCUGGUGGGAUAUUAUCGUUACAUACUUCGGGUGUGUAUAUGAUGAUGUUCUGCGAAAGGUUAUUUAUGUUGCGUUUCUCUCGACCUUACCCUGGCCUAGAUGACACCCGUGAGUGGGGAGGGAAUGAUCAUU